UGGGGGGCUGGUGAGCUGGGAGGGGGCGCUGAGUACACCGGCGGCGAGUAGUGGCGGGAAGCGGCUAAUUGGACACGAGGGUGGCGAGGAAGUGGUCGGGGCAGGAGUAUGCGGCGGCAAGUUUGUGGGCUGUGACAGGAAGGAGGCGAGUUGUGUGGCGGAUUGAGAAAAAUCGCCGCACAGGAUCGAGGGGAGUUAAUGUUCUCCUUGGAUUACAGGGUAAG
rnacentral:lncRNA from 1 species